AUGAACGCUGGCGGCGUGCCUAAUCCAUGCAAGUCGCGCGAACAGGCGAGGAGCUUGCUCCUCUGACGUUAGCGGCGGACGGGUGAGUAACACGUGGAUAACCUACCUAUAAGACUGGGAUAACUUCGGGAAACCGGAGCUAAUACCGGAUAAUAUAUUGAACCGCAUGGUUCAAUAGUGAAAGACGGUUUUGCUGUCACUUAUAGAUGGAUCCGCGCCGCAUUAGCUAGUUGGUAAGGUAACGGCUUACCAAGGCAACGAUGCGUAGCCGACCUGAGAGGGUGAUCGGCCACACUGGAACUGAGACACGGUCCAGACUCCUACGGGAGGCAGCAGUAGGGAAUCUUCCGCAAUGGGCGAAAGCUUGACGGAGCAACGCCGCGUGAGUGAUGAAGGUCUUCGGAUCGUAAAACUCUGUUAUUAGGGAAGAACAAAUGUGUAAGUAACUAUGCACGUCUUGACGGUACCUAAUCAGAAAGCCACGGCUAACUACGUG
rnacentral:rRNA from 1 species